GAGCAAGGUCAUCAAAUUAAAAUGAUGUUACCUUGCAUUGAAGGUUGGCUACAAGGAAUACUGGCAGUUCUCCGUGCCUUUCGAACUACGUUUGUAUUGUUUGUGGCCUCGAACAAAUUGCUACAUG